AUUGAACGCUGGCGGCAGGCCUAACACAUGCAAGUCGAACGAGUGGCGGACGGGUGAGUAAUGUCUGGGAAACUGCCCGAUAGAGGGGGAUAACUACUGGAAAAGGUAGCUAAUACCGCAUACCAUCAGAGGUGCCCAGAUGGGAUUAGCUUGUUGGGGGGGUAACGGCUCACCAAGGCUACGAUCCCUAGCUGGUCUGAGAGGAUGAUCAUUCACACUGGAACUGAGACACGGUCCAGACUCCUACGGGAGGCAGCAGUGGGGAAUUUUGGACAAUGGGGGAAAGCCUGAUUCAGCCAUGCCGCGUGUGUGAAGAAGGUCUUCGGAUUGUAAAGCACUUUUAGUUGGGAGGCGUUACCUACAGAAUAAGCACCGGCUAACUUCGUGCCAGCAGCCGCGGUAAUAC
rnacentral:rRNA from 1 species